rnacentral:rRNA from 1 species
UACGUAGGGUGCGAGCGUUGUCCGGAUUUAUUGGGCGUAAAGGGCUCGUAGGCGGCUUGUCGCGUCGGGAGUGAAAGCCCGCUGCUUAACGGCGGGUUUGCUUUCGGUACGGGCUGGCUGGAGUGCGGCAGGGGAGACUGGAAUUCCUGGUGUAGCGGUGGAAUGCGCAGAUAUCAGGAGGAACACCGGUGGCGAAGGCGGGUCUCUGGGCAGUAACUGACGCUGAGGAGCGAAAGCGUGGGGAGCGAACAGG